rnacentral:lncRNA from 1 species
ACGGUGUUGGUGUGGGGCUGGUUGCGGUGUUGCCAUGGGGCCGGUCACGGUGUUACGGUGUUGUCACGGUGUUGGCAUGGGGCCGGUCGUGAUGUCACGGUGUUGGCGUGGGGCUGGUCGUGGUGUCACGGUGUUGGCGUGGGGCCAGUCGUGGUGUCACGGUGUUGGUGUGGGGCUGGUCACGGUGUUGCCAUGGGGCCGGUCGCGGUGU